rnacentral:miRNA from 1 species
UCUCUACUGAUUUGUCUCCUCAG